AUUGAACGCUGGCGGCAUGCCUUACACAUGCAAGUCGAACGGUAACGCGGGGCAACCUGGCGACGAGUGGCGAACGGGUGAGUAAUGUAUCGGAACGUGCCCAGUUGUGGGGGAUAACUGCUCGAAAGAGCAGCUAAUACCGCAUACGACCUGAGGGUGAAAGCGGGGGAUCGCAAGACCUCGCGCAAUUGGAGCGGCCGAUAUCAGAUUAGGUAGUUGGUGAGGUAAAGGCUCACCAAGCCAACGAUCUGUAGCUGGUCUGAGAGGACGACCAGCCACACUGGGACUGAGACACGGCCCAGACUCCUACGGGAGGCAGCAGUGGGGAAUUUUGGGCAAUGGACGCAAGUCUGAUCCAGCCAUGCCGCGUGCGGGAAGAAGGCCUUCGGGUUGUAAACCGCUUUUGUCAGGGAAGAAACGCUCUGGGUUAAUACCUCGGGGUAAUGACGGUACCUGAAGAAUAAGCACCGGCUAACUACGUGCCAGCCGCCGCCGUAAAAC
rnacentral:rRNA from 1 species